rnacentral:tRNA from 1 species
GGAAUUGUGGCUCGGUGGCAGAGCGCUAGCCUCACAAGUAGGAGGCACUGGGUUCGAUCCUCAGCACCA